AUUGAACGCUGGCGGCAGGCCUAACACAUGCAAGUCGAACGAGUGGCGGACGGGUGUGUAAUGUCUGGGAAACUGCCCGAAGGAGGGGGAUAACUACUGGAAACGGUAGCUAAUACCGCAUACCAUCGGAUGUGCCCAGAUGGGAUUAGCUAGUAGGUGGGGUAACGGCUCACCUAGGCGACGAUCCCUGGCUGGUCUGAGAGGAUGACCAGCCACACUGGAACUGGGACACGGUCCAGACUCCUGCGGGAGGCAGCAGGGGGGAAUAUUGGACAAUGGGGGCAUGCCUGAUGCGGCCAUGCCCCGUGUAUGAAGAAGGCCUUCGGGUGGUAAAGUACUUUCAGCGAGGAGGCGUUACUCGCAGAAGAAGCACCGGCUAACUCCGUGCCAGCAGCCGCGGUAAUAC
rnacentral:rRNA from 1 species